rnacentral:rRNA from 1 species
UACGGGGGGGGCAAGCGUUGUUCGGAAUUACUGGGCGUAAAGGGCUCGUAGGCGGCCAACUAAGUCGGAUGUGAAAUCCCCAGGCUUAACUUGGGAACUGCAUCCGAUACUGGAUGGCUUGAAUCCGGGAGAGGGAUGCGGAAUUCCAGGUGUAGCGGUGAAAUGCGUAGAUAUCUGGAGGAACACCGGUGGCGAAGGCGGCAUCCCGGACCGGCAUUGACGCUGAUGAGCGAAAGCCAGGGGAGCAAACGGG